CAUAUCCGCGCCGUUUCAGGUGUCUCACGCCGCCGUGCGUGAGGUUAAACGGGAAGUCGGUGCGCCCUUUGGGCUAGUCCGACGCUGCCCCCGCAACGGUAAGCGAGCGAAGUCAUCACGAUGCCACUGUGCAGUUUCUGCAUGGGAAGGCGAUGGCUUCAUGACCCUCGCGAGCCCGGAGACCGGCCUGAUUCUUAGGGAUGUUG
rnacentral:ncRNA from 32 species